rnacentral:rRNA from 1 species
UACGUAGGUGGCGAGCGUUGUCCGGAUUUACUGGGCGUAAAGGGUGCGUAGGCGGUCUUUCAAGCCAGAAGUGAAAGGCUACGGCUCAACCGUAGUAAGCUUUUGGAACUGUAAGACUUGAGUGCAGGAGAGGAGAGUGGAAUUCCUAGUGUAGCGGCGAAAUGCGUAGAUAUUAGGAGGAACACCAGUAGCGAAGGCGGCUCUCUGGACUGUAACUGACGCUGAGGCACGAAAGCGUGGGGAGCAAACAGGAUUAGAUACCCGCGUAGU